rfam:Arenitalea lutea strain CGMCC 1.12213 genome assembly, contig: Ga0079849_112
GAACCAGUAAAACAUAAAUCAUGAAAACUUUUUUAAAUAAUACUUGGUGGUGGUGCUUUCGAAACUAAUCUUCGUGAAGUAAAACCCUAGUAUAUUUAAAACUAAAAUAUCCAAAAGGCUUGUC